rfam:Salmo salar isolate Sally breed double haploid chromosome ssa14, whole genome shotgun sequence.
UGCACACAUGACUGUGAGUUGCUUUGGAUAAAAGCUUCUGCUAAGUGGCCUAUG